rnacentral:tRNA from 1 species
UAGCCUAGUGGUUAAGGCUAUGGAUCGCCAAUCCGGAAACCGCGGGUUCGAUUCCCGU